CACCAGCACCCCGAGUGGUCGGGACGAUUAUUGGGCCUAAAGCAUCCGUAGCCGGUUCUACAAGUCUUCCGUUAAAUCCACCUGCUUAACAGAUGGGCUGCGGAGGAUACUAUAGAGCUAGGAGGCGGGAGAGGCAAGCGGUACUUAGUGGGUAGGGGUAAAAUCCGUUGAUCCAUUGAAGACCACCAGUGGCGAAGGCGGCUUGCCAGUACGCACUCGACGGUGAGGGAUGAAAGCUGGGGGAGCAAACCGG
rnacentral:rRNA from 1 species